rnacentral:rRNA from 1 species
GAUCAUGGCUCAGGACGAACGCUGGCGGCGUGCUUAACACAUGCAAGUCGAGCGAGGUAGCAAUACCUAGCGGCGGACGGGUGAGUAACGCGUGAGCAAUCUGCCUACAUCAUCGGGAUACCACGUAGAAAUAUGUGCUAAUACCGAAUAAGACCACACCGAGGCAUCUCGGAGAGGUAAAAGUGAUUUAGCGGAUGUAGAUGAGCUCGCGUCCCAUUAGCUAG